GUUGAAACACUGGUUCUCGUAUGAUCACCAAAGUUAAGCAACCUCGAAACUGGUCAGUGCCUAGAUGGGUGACCACUUGGGAAUACCAAGU